ensembl:lncRNA
AGGGCUCUCCAGGUAGAGAUCCUUCCCUGGUGGGAAGGGAGCUUAGUGAGGGGUAGAAACUGGUUCCACUCCUUCCAGGCACACAGGUGAAUUGCUGUUGAGUCACAGCCUGAACCACUGAUUGAGCACCUGGGGGAAAGGACCCGGUCAGCCCUUGGAGCACAGGUGAAGGCAAUUCAGUUGUGUGACUAGGAGAGGUGGAGCCUGGCUGCAUCUCUCUUAGACCCCAUUUAGGGGCUGACUGCCAUUGAGGAAAGGUCUCUGGUUGGAAAACUCUUCCUUGAGUGUUUUUUCUCUGCAAGCCUUGAUCUUCAGAGAUGGGGGUCUCAGCUUCCAUGUUUUUGAUCAAACUGAGAGCUUUAAACAACAUGAUACGCCUGCCUGCUGCACCCAAGAAGGAUCUGUUCUUUGGCUUCCUUGGGUUGUGCUCAAAGGGCUGCGUCUUAUGGAUGUCACCUGGAACUGCUGCUGGGAUCUGCUGCAUGGUUCCAGCUCCCUGGCAAGGGCCUCAUCAGAGGAGGCUUGGGGAGCUUCGGCUUGGGAAGAGAUCCUGACUCUUCACCUCCGAGCUGGGAUGAGUUCCUCCUUCCUAACGACUUACCCACAUCUCAGGUUCAGGGAAUUCUUGUGUGAGUCAUAGUCUGCCGAAGAGUUUUUCCCUCUCUCCCCAGAUACUAAUAUUUUGAACAAGUCUCACUCUUUAUUAUCAUGGAGAUAUAAGGGAAAUAUCCCACAAGGACAGGGGUAGGUCUGAACUGCAUGUCAGAAACUUUGCUGUUAAGAUUACAUGUGAUGUGUGACCAGACUGUUUGGAUCUGCGGUCGGGCCCCAGAAGAUGUGUGUGGUGACUGACCACAUCCCCUCCGGAAGGGGAAUGUUUGAG